GCCGGAUUGGCGGAAUUGGCAGACGCGGCGCACUCAAAAUGCGCUGCCGAAAGGCGUGCGGGUUCGAGUCCCGCAUCCGGCA
rnacentral:tRNA from 1 species